ensembl:lncRNA
AGUGACUUGGGACUUUAUUUCUACAUUAUUAACGUACUUUCCUGUUGUUUGUAUUUUAUUGACAUUGAAUUGUCUUUUGCUGCAGGAGUCUAUCAACUGUAUCUAUGUAAUGAGUCCCACAUUGCAAACAUGUGUUGAAAUAACAGACAAGCUUGCAGACCCAAGCCUCAGUACAAGUCUAGUGGCUCUGCCCUCAAAGUGCAUCCUCCCAGUACGGCCACUUUUCACCGUCCAGCUCCUAUUACCACAGUUCAGUUCCCUGUCAUCUGGAUUGUGCCAGUGGCCUCCUAACCUGUCCCCCAGCUCCUGCCCCUACCAGCCUUUUCUCAACAUGCCUGUUAAAACACAACUCUGAUCAUGCCAUUGUUGGACACAAAACCCUCAAAACUCCACCCCACCCACGGUAGACACCCUAGUUGUAAACAAUCCAGUCAUCACCUCCCUGACCUCUGCUCUCCUCGCUCACUCUGGUCUAGCCACGCAGCUGUUGUGUUCAUCUCUCUAACUGCUAUGGGACAGAGAAUUUGUGCAAACAGCAUAGACCUUGGUAGGCAAUCAAUAAUGAAUGAUGUGGGACUUCCCUGGUGGUCCAGUGCUUACUUAAGACUCUGUGCUUCCACGUCAGGAAGCAUGGGUUCCAUCCCUGAGAACAAAGAUUCAUUGUGCAAGCCUUGUGCCACCACAGCCAAAAAAAAUUUUUAACUAGCAAUACUUUAAAAAAUAAAUACAUAAUGUUACCUGUAUGUGUACAGUUUGGAUGCCGUGUGCGUAAAUGACAAGGAACUUAGGUGAAUUUUCUUAGGGAGUGAGUCGGUAGUGUGAAAUUCCUGUUCCUCCACUGCCAUCAUUCCUGCCCACCCUGUCCUACCUUCCAAGCUACUCAAACAGUUUCCAGCGGCCAGAAGGAACAGUUAGAGAAAAGUGGGGAGAUAUUACAGGGGCUAAGUACACAGGGGACAUGAGACACUUCUAAAACAUCAAACACUAAUUCCGGGUUUCUGAUCAUCAUAAGACCUAAUCAGAUGUAACCAGUCUGCAGCUUCGUGCUUGAAGCGGUGUGUGAUUUUAAAAUACUUCUGCAAAUGCUUAGACCUUCCUUCUGUUGAGUGGUGGGUCUUAUGUACCUUCCCCUUGAAUCUGGGCCAGCCUUAGUGAUUCACCAAUAGAAUGUGGCAGGAGGGACUCUGCAAUAUCUGAGGCUAGAUUAGAACAUGCCCUGCUGCUUCCACCUGGUUCUCUGUGGGACACCAGGCACCUCAGACCAACAGGUGUCUGGUCAGCCGCCAAGCUUGAGCUCUCGCUGAUGGCCAGCAUUAACUGCCAGCUGAGUGCGUGUGCCUUCUUGGACGUCUAGCCCAGCUGAGCUUUCAGAUGUCUGCAGAUCAAGCUGCCAACUGCCAUAGCAGGAGAGACACCCAGCUGAGGACUACCAAGAUGAGCCCUUCCCGAAUUCCAGAUCCACAAACUGUCAACAAAAUAAAGUACUUGUUUGAAGCUGCU